rnacentral:lncRNA from 1 species
UUUGGUCUUGAUUAGCACUCGGGGACCCUCCGUGCCGUUGAUAUUCCGUGACCUCUCGCAUUACCUGGUUAUUUCACAAGAACAACAAAGCAAUCUCAGUACAUUAUGGAGCUAUUCCAUAGGACGAUGGUCAUGAUUCUAGGGCGGACCUGUGCCUUAGAGCCUAAAAAUGAAGUUUGAACUAGCUUAAUUACGUUUUGAUU